GCUGGGAGCUUCCUAGAGCGCAAAGUCUGAGACAGAUUAGGGUAGACGAGCACAUCGCAGAGGUCGUUUACGUCGAGCUGUGCAUGUUCCGCGCGUUGUUUGGCGAGUGAGCCCGGAGCUCGCGCCCUCUGACGCCCUACCGGCCGCAGCUCGCCCGCUGCCUCCCACGUUACUCCUCGGGGAUGGGACCCGGAUGCAGGUGCCCUGAGCUUUCCUGGAAUCCCAGACUCUCCAGGGGCCACUGACCCCGAGGCCGCUUUCCUCCGUGACCGGAACCUCGCUCCCCCUCCCGCGGCUCAGCGCCCCUUCCCUCCCAGGCCAGGACGGCGAGAUGCUGGCGGCCUUCUACAGUUCGUUCAGGGUCUCACUCGUGGUCAGUGCGGUCCCAGGAUGCGGAGUCGGGAUCGUCCUUAUCGGAUGGCCCUUUUACCAGGAUGUUAGGACGCUCCUCACUGUGGCAAUGUCUUUCCAGCUUCGGGUCCACCGGGAUCGAGAGCUCGGACCCGACGGCUGCUAAAUUCCGCGUGGGCCUGGAGGCGUUCGGUUUCAGGCUGGGGCCGUCCGGAAUCCCUCAUCCAGAUGACAGCUCCUGGCGGACCCAGGACGGGGAUGGCGUUGCUUGCGGGGGGUGCUGACCUGGAGGUCGGGAGGCUAAGGCUCCAUUCAGCUGUGUUUGUGCCAUGAAAGCGAUCUUCACAGCAUCUUCACCAGGAGUAGAUUCCAUCUCAAGAAUCCACUUUCUUUGCUCACCCAUGAGAAGCAGCUCCUCAUCCAUUCAAGUUUUAUCCUGAGACUGCAGAAAUUCGGUCACAUCUUCAGUCUCCACUGCUGAUUCUAGCUCUCCUGCUGUUUCCACCAUAUCUGCAGUGACUUCCUCCACCGGAGUCUGAAGCCCUCCAUGUCAUCCAUGAGGGAUGGAAUCAACUUCUUCCAAACUCCUGUUAAUGUUGAUUAGUGUGAUUGUUCCCAUGAAUCACAAAUGUUCUGUUCUUAAUGGCAUCUAGGAAGGAGAAUACUUUCCAGAAGGUUUUCAAUUGACUUUGCUCAGAUUCAUCAGAGGAAUCACUGUCUAUGGCAUCUGUAGCCUUGCGAAAGUUCUCUCUAGGUCCUGUUGGGAUAAGUUCCUGGACUUGGCCCUAUUCCGAAUCGGCUGGGAGUAGUAGGACGUGGAGAUCAAGCCGUGGUGGACAGUGCCCGAAACCUUUACCUUUCCUUUGGGAUUUUACAUAGAAGAGGGCCAGGAGGAGCCAUGUUCGCUCCUCACGGUUGCCGAGCCUGGCGAGCCGGAGAUUCUGUGAGGACCACCGUCUCUCUUGCCUCCGCGCUCUCCAGGGGGCGCUUCUGGAAACCAUCCACGUCUGCGCGGACGACCACCAAGGCUGUCCUGGUUCCAGACGUCUCUCCUGGGCUUCAGAUCCAGGGCUCCACCAGCCUGCUGGGAGGCCCCUCAAAUGACACUCGCAACAGUGCGCC